CCCGUUUAGAAAUUACAUCGCUUUCUGUAUGGUAAAUGAUGCAUUGUUGUAACGAUCGUCGUAAGGAGGAGACCAAGGUGCAGCGUGGUCGGUUUUCACUGUAACUUGUGAUUGGUCCAGAAGACAGGAAGUUCUACACUCACAAUCGAACAAAUGCAACAGGGUUUGUGAGAGAACAUUGAUCACUGGGGUCGGGGCCUGUUCCCGAGGCAGCCGUAUGUCCUCCGCCUCAGGCCCCUCAGAGUUGUGAAAGAAGAAAAAAGAUUCUGCUAGUCCGUGGUUUAUGAGGAUUGCCUGCUGCAGUUGUUCAAGGAGAUGUCUAGUUUGCAGCCGAACAUACAGCACAGAGAAGACCAGCAAGAGGACCCUCAGGAUCACCAGGCAUGCCUUCGCUGUGAUCAUUCCUAUUAAUGGAACAGGGAGGAGACUUGAAUCAGGUUGGUCACAUUUGAACUGGUCAAAGGUGUCACAGGCCAGCUCAUAGCCUGUAGCAAAAAUGAGGGGACAUGAACAACAGGUAUAUGCCAAUCAAAAGGUUCUUUAUUGUAAACCAAAAAACUAUUAACUUUAAACAAAGAAAAAGUAAUGAGGUGUGGAAAUGUCAUAAUGUAGGGUGUAUGGAUGCAUGAAUCUGUGUGUGUGAAUAUGACUGUGUGGAAACUAAGUAAACCUACAAGGGAACAAACAAAACAGGAUCAUACCUGGAGGAGCUGAG
rnacentral:lncRNA from 1 species